UUACGUUUCCGUGGACUAAUUAUUAACCGUUUUACAAGUUUUAGUCAAAAUAUCAAUCACCUCUCGAUAACAGAGAGUCCAAUAAAGAAAAAGAAAAAACGCUGUAGAAUAAUACGUAACAACUUUUAACAAACAAAGGAGGAAAGCUGUCAAUACGAUCCAUCACGCAGUUAUUUAACGUGUUUGCUAUCCACGCCUCGAUACUGUCCCUGCAAUAUCUGCCGCGAUUGACAAAAGUAGCUUUUUAAAUCAAAUGACAUCUCCUAGAUAAAAUUCAUUCGAAACUGAAGGUGUGUGAAACCGAAUCGACGCGUAACGUUGAAAUCUAAAAGGGAAAUGCGAAGCGAAGCCAACACGUCGAAGCAAACGUUUUGUUUUAUGAAUUUCCCGAUAAGAUACGCGCGUUACAUCACCGUUAGUAAUUGCAUCGCGCUUCUACGCCUAGUGGCACGCUCGUAUCAACACGAGCUAGACUUUGUACUUUCCGCGAAACAAUUGCCAGGUUUUAUCGUCCGAAGGAUUUUCAAUCUCUUCUGUUCCUGCAACAAUUCUCGAAUCGCCGGAUAAUACAGCAACGACGUGUACAUGUACAUACGAAACUACGUGCUACGCGUUCUUACGUUCGCCUGUGUCGAAAAUUCAAUCAAGCAACGAAGCCGAAAAGGAACGAACCGGUCGCCCGGAGGAAAACUUGACACGUACGCCCGAACGGGCUUACAUCAUCUGGCAAUUAAAAUGCAGGCAGAAAUGGCAGCAUCGCUCGCACGCGCGCACGCACGCACGCACGCACGCACGCACGCACGCCACGGCCAAGCGCUGUAUUUCUGCGAUACGUCGGACGCUAAAAUAAUAUAGGAUGCAUUUGACUUUCGUCCAAUAUAUUCAACGGUGUCGUAUACCUGCUCUCACGUUCCGAAUAAAGAACACGAUCCCGCGGGGCCGCAUCGAUACACGACGCACACGCACGAACACGCAACGCGACUCCACGCAAUGCAUACGGGACGCAGAGACGCGGACGUGGUUGGCGCGCAAUGCCUUCGAGAUUCCCCGAGUCCCGUGUUAUAUGU